rnacentral:rRNA from 1 species
AUUGACCGCUGGCGGAAGGCCUAACACAUGCAAGUCGAGCGAGCGGCGGACGGGUGAGUAAUGUAUGGGGACUUCCAGAUAUUGGGGGCUAACUUCUGGAAACGGUGGCUAAUACCGCAUACUAUCGGAUAACCCAUAUGGGUUUAGCUAGUAGGUGGGUUACAGGCUCAGCUAGGCGACGAUCUCUAGCUGGUCGGAGAGGAUGAUCAGCCACACUGGGACGGUGACACGGCCCAGACUCCUACGGAGGCAGCAGUGGGGAAUAUUGCACAAUGGGCGCAAGCCAGAUGCAGCCAUGCCGCGUGUAUGAAGAAGGCCUUAGGGUAGUAAAGUACUUUCAGCGGGGAGGCGUUACCCGCAGAAGAAGCAGCGGCUAACUCCGUGCCAGCAGCCGCGGUAAUUC